rnacentral:rRNA from 1 species
UACCCCGAAGAGGGGGACAACUCCGGGAAACUGGAGCUAAUACCCCAUGUGAUCCUAAGGACUAGAUGCCUAAGGAUGAAAGGGAGCAAUCCGCUUCGGGAGGGGCCUGCGGCCUAUCAGCUAGUUGGUGAGGUAAUGGCUCACCAAGGCGACGACGGGUAGGGGACCUGAGAGGGUGAUCCCCCACACUGGAACUGAAACACGGACCAGACACCUACGGGUGGCAGCAGUAGGGAAUAUUGCACAAUGGGCGAAAGCCUGAUGCAGCAACGCCGCGUGCGCGAUGAAGGCCUUCGGGUUGUAAAGCGCUUUUCUGGGGACGAGAAAGGACGGUACCCCAGGAAUAAGUCUCGGCUAACUACGUG